CCUACGGGUGGCAGCAGUGGGGAAUAUUGCUCAAUGGGGGAAACCCUGAAGCAGCAACGCCGCGUGAGGGAUGACGGUUUUCGGAUUGUAAACCCCUUUUUUUAGGGAAGAUAAUGACGGUAUCUAACCAAUAAGCACCGGCUAACUCCGUGCCAGCAGCGGCGGUAAUACGGAGGGUGCCAGCGUUAUUCGGAAUCACUGGAGGUAAAGAGGGCGUAGGCGGGAUAGCAAGUCAGAUGUGAAAUCCUAUGGCUUAACCAUAGAACUGCAUUUGAAACUGUUAGUCUAGAGUUUGGGAGAGGUAGGUGGAAUUCUUGGUGUAGCGGUAAAAUCCGUAGAGAUCAAGAGGAACACUCAUUGCGAAGGCGACCUGCUAGAACAUAACUGACGCUGAUGCGCGAAAGCGUGGGGAGCAAACAGGAUUAGAUACCCUAGUAGUC
rnacentral:rRNA from 1 species